rnacentral:rRNA from 1 species
AGAGUUUGAUCAUGGCUCAGAACGAACGCUGGCGGCGUGGAUAAGACAUGCAAGUCGAACGGGCUUAGUUUUGUAGCAAUACAGAGCUAAGCUAGUGGCGAACGGGUGCGUAACACGUGAGCAAUCUGCCUUAAAGUGGGGGAUAGCUCGCCGAAAGGCGAAUUAAUACCGCAUGUGGUUGUAGAACCAAAGCCGGGGCAACCUGGCGCUUUUAGAGGAGCUCGCGGCCUAUCAGCUUGUUGGUGAGGUAACGGCUCACCAAGGCUUCGACGGGUAGCUGGUCUGAGAGGACGACCAGCCACACUGGAACUGAGACACGGUCCAGACACCUACGGGUGGCAGCAGUCGAGAAUUUUUCUCAAUGGGGGAAACCCUGAAGGAGCGACGCCGCGUGGAGGAUGAAGGCUCUCGGGUUGUAAACUCCUGUCAUUUGGGAACAAAGCCUUACGUUAACUGCGUGGAGGUUUGAUAGUACCAGAAGAGGAAGAGACGGCUAACUCUGUGCCAGCAGCCGCGGUAAUACAGAGGUCUCAAGCGUUGUUCGGAUUCAUUGGGCGUAAAGGGCGCGUAGGCGGCGAGGUAAGUCGGGUGUGAAAUCUCAGAGCUUAACUCUGAAACUGCACUUGAUACUGCUUUGCUAGAGGACUGGAGAGGAGAUUGGAAUUCACGGUGUAGCAGUGAAAUGCGUAGAUAUCGUGAGGAAGACCAGUGGCGAAAGCGGAUCUCUGGACAGUUCCUGACGCUGAGGCGCGAAAGCCAGGGGAGCAAACGGGAUUAGAUACCCCGGUAGUCCUGGCAGUAAACGGUGCACGUUUGGUGUGCGCGGAUUCGACCCCGCGCGUGCCGGAGCUAACGCGUUAAACGUGCCGCUGAGAGUACGGUCGCAGAUUAAAACUCAAAGAAAUUGACGGGGGCCCGCACAAGCGGUGGAGUAUGUGGGCUUAAUC